rnacentral:lncRNA from 1 species
GAGAACUUGGGUAGAGUUGGUGACCAACUCAGGUUUGCAGGGCAGGAGUUUGGCACUACUACUGGUCGUCCUCGUCGUUGUGGCUGGCUAGAUAUAGUUGCGCUGAAGUACUCCUGUCAGAUUAAUGGCUUUUCUUCUCUGAAUCUCACCAAGCUUGAUGUCUUAUCAGAUCUAUCCGAAAUAUGGCUGGGGGUUGGUUACAAAGAAAUUGAUGGCAAAUCAAUCAAAUCUUUCCCUGCAGAUCUCCGUGCUCUUGAGCAACUGCAGGUAAGCAUUCUUUUUCAUAUAUACUCAUAAGCAGAUUUGAGUUCUGUGUGGUCUUUUGCUGUUUAUCAAAUCCACUGCUGAACAAUACUUCAGACUGGAAGUGCAUAGAAAAUGAAUCCUUGAGAAUUUUAUUUUGUCACCGUGGCAUUCUCUGUCUUUAUUAUUGAUAAAAGAGUUUGAGAGAGUUAGUUUUGAUUGAUUCUGGGUAUAAUGUUUAGGUGGAGUAUGAAAUUUUACCUGGGUGGAAGACUGAUAUUUCCGGAUUCAAAAACUACUCUGACCUCCCAAAGGCUGCACAGCAGUAUGUGGAAAGGAUAGAAGAACUCGUUGGUGUACCCAUCCAUUACAUUGGUGUCGGUCCCGGGCGCGAAGCCCUUAUAUACAAAUGAUCUUGAUUUUUCGCUUUGGAAGCCCCAAGGGUAGUACAUGUUCUCAGAGGUGAGAUGGGACGUCUAUUGCUGGAAGAAUUUAUCCCCCUUAAUGAUGGGGAGUUAGUUUUGGAUAAAAAGAAAUGAUCA